CCAAAGUGCUGUUCGUGCAGGUAGU
rnacentral:ncRNA from 2 species